UAUUCUGGUGUUCUCGGCGUAUAGGAACCACACCAUCCAUAAAUCCAACUUGGUUGUUAAACUUUACUGCGGUGAAAAUACUAUAGGGGGGACUCUAUGGAAAAAUAGCUCAAUGCCA
rnacentral:rRNA from 1 species